GAGUUUGAUCAUGGCUCAGAUUGAACGCUGGCGGCAGGCCUAACACAUGCAAGUCGAGCGGAUGACGGGAGCUUGCUCCUUGAUUCAGCGGCGGACGGGUGAGUAAUGCCUAGGAAUCUGCCUGGUAGUGGGGGACAACGUUUCGAAAGGAACGCUAAUACCGCAUACGUCCUACGGGAGAAAGCAGGGGACCUUCGGGCCUUGCGCUAUCAGAUGAGCCUAGGUCGGAUUAGCUAGUUGGUGGGGUAAUGGCUCACCAAGGCGACGAUCCGUAACUGGUCUGAGAGGAUGAUCAGUCACACUGGAACUGAGACACGGUCCAGACUCCUAUGGGAGGCAGCAGUGGGGAAUAUUGGACAAUGGGCGAAAGCCUGAUCCAGCCAUGCCGCGUGUGUGAAGAAGGUCUUCGGAUUGUAAAGCACUUUAAGUUGGGAGGAAGGGCAGUAAGUUAAUACCUUGCUGUUUGACGUUACGACAGAAUAAGCACCGGCUAACUCUGUG
rnacentral:rRNA from 1 species